rnacentral:rRNA from 1 species
GACGAACGCUGGCGGCGUGCUUAACACAUGCAAGUCGAGCGGUAAGGCCCUUUCGGGGGUACACGAGCGGCGAACGGGUGAGUAACACGUGGGUGACCUGCCUCUAGCUCUGGGAUAAGCCUGGGAAACUGGGUCUAAUACCGGAUAUGACUCCACGGCGCAUGUUGUGGGGUGGAAAGCCUUGUGUGGCUAGAGAUGGGCCCGCGGCCUAUCAGCUUGUUGGUGGGGUGAUGGCCUACCAAGGCGACGACGGGUAGCCGGCCUGAGAGGGCGACCGGCCACACUGGGACUGAGACACGGCCCAGACUCCUACGGGAGGCAGCAGUGGGGAAUCUUGCGCAAUGGGCGAAAGCCUGACGCAGCGACGCCGCGUGA